AGGAUAAACGCUGGCGGCGUGCCUAACACAUGCAAGUCGAACGCCCUUUAGCUUCGCAAGGAGUGGGAGGGAGUGGCGGACGGGUGAGGAACACGUGGGUGACCUACCUUUCAGUGAGGAAUACCGGCGAGAAAUCGCCGACAAGACCGCAUACGGUUGCUGCAUCAGCGCAGCAACGAAAGCUUCACGAGAGUGAGGCGCUGGAAGAUGGGCCUGCGGCCGAUUAGCUAGCUGGUGGGGUAACGGCCUACCAGGGCGACGAUCGGUAGCUGGUCUGAGAGGACGAUCAGCCACACUGGGAUUGAGAACGGCCCAGACUCCUACGGGGGGCAGCAGUGAGGAAUUUUCCGCAAUGGGCGAAAGCCUGACGGAGCGACGCCGCGUGUGGGAAGAAGGCCUUCGGGUCGUAACCACUGUCGAAGGGAGAUAAUGACGGUACCUUGGAGGAAGCCCGGCUAACUACGUGCCAGCAGCCGC
rnacentral:rRNA from 1 species